AUUGAACGCUGGCGGCAUGCUUUACACAUGCAAGUCGAACGGUAACAGGCCGCAAGGUGCUGACGAGUGGCGAACGGGUGAGUAAUGCAUCGGAACGUGCCCAGUCGUGGGGGAUAACGCAGCGAAAGCUGCGCUAAUACCGCAUACGAUCUAUGGAUGAAAGCGGGGGACCGAAAGGCCUCGCGCGAUUGGAGCGGCCGAUGGCAGAUUAGGUAGUUGGUGGGGUAAAGGCUCACCAAGCCAACGAUCUGUAGCUGGUCUGAGAGGACGACCAGCCACACUGGGACUGAGACACGGCCCAGACUCCUACGGGAGGCAGCAGUGGGGAAUUUUGGACAAUGGGCGCAAGCCUGAUCCAGCAAUGCCGCGUGCAGGAAGAAGGCCGUCGGGUUGUAAACUGCUUUUGUACGGAACGAAACGGUCCGGGUUAAUACCCUGGGCUAAUGACGGUACCGUAAGAAUAAGCACCGGCUAACUACGUGCCAGCCGCCGCCGUAAAAC
rnacentral:rRNA from 1 species